CUUGUUCUAAAGCAGGAGAAUGCCUCUGACAGUAGUUGGAGGUGUAGUGCCAAGGGAAUCACGAUGCCAAACCAGGAGAAGCCUUCAGCGGUCCUAGAAACUCAGCAAAAUGUCCUGUGAGAUGGUAGUGCCCAGGAACCUGAAUGACUCCGCUGCUGCCACAGUGCUGUUUAGAAUGGUGAGGGGGGUCAGUGUUGGGGUGUUCCUCCUAAAGUCCACAAUCAUCUCCACCGUUUUGAGCGUGUUCAGCUGAAGGUUGUUUUGACUGCACCAGACAGCCAGCUGUUCAACCUCCCUUCUGUAUGCAGACUCAUCGUCAUCUCGGAUGAGGCCGAUGACAGUGGUGUCGUAUGCAAACUUCAGGAGGGGUCCUUGGCGAUGCAGUCAUUGGUGUAGAGGGAGAAGAGUAGUGGGGAGAGCACACAUCCCUGGGGAGCACCAGUGCUGAUUGUACAGGUGCUGGAAGUGAGUUUCCCCUGUCUCACAAGCUGCUGCCUGACUGUCAGAAAGCUGGUAAUCCACUGACAGAUAGACAUGGGAACAGAGAGAUGGUGUAAUUUAUUCUGGAGAUUAAAGGUGCUGUAAUCAGUAUUGGGGUGGUGGUUUUCAUCCGAGUCAAAAUAAUUCAGACAAAAUCUUCAUAGCAUCACAUAAUCAAAAGUGCCCUCAAGGUGACAGGACAAUGUCAGAAGGCUUCUUCCUCACAUUCCAGUCUCAGCUCUCCGUUGUCAUGGAGACCAUCCUCAAAUCCGCCAUGUUUGAGAUAACCAGGCUGGUGGAGGACAGCUUCCUCGAGGAAGUGGGUCGUUGUAAACAGGAGGUGGAACUCUUGAGACGAAAGCUGCAGUUGUCUGAAAGUAAACUGAGGGAGAGAGAAUGGGAACGGGGGAAGAAGUUGCAGUGCACAGACUGUGGCCGAACAGGAGAUUCCAACGGCAGAGACGAGAGCCAACAGGUAGAGACAGUUCGAGGCCUAAACAUGAGAGAUCAGUCUACCACAGGGCCUCCAUUGACUGAAAAGGUGUGGAGUACAAGACAGCAGUUGGAGCCUAACAUAGACAAGGCAACACACUCACAUUCAAAAGAGAAGCGUGAUGUACACAAACAGAGUGCUAAUGAGAUCACCGCAGCUCACACCAACUCCAAUGCACAGAUUCCUCAGGAUGUUCUACAGAGACUUCUAGGCAAUGCAGCAGUUCAUAGCGAGUCCACUUGUGACUUUAAACCUAGAGUGAUUGACAUAGAUGAAUCUGAAAAGGACUUCACUCUUGAUAAGGAAAUGGACUUAAAUCACUCAAAACUGUUACAAAGUCCUUUAGCUGAGGAUGGGCGUAAUGAUUUGGCACCGUCUUCACCAAACAGUAGAGUAAAAUCAGAGACAGAGCUGGAUCUUCUACCUGUCAAGGAUGAGGAAGAGAUGGUUCCAGUGUGGGAUAGCGAUAGAGAUGAUGGUUGCCAUGCCGAAAUGGCUGAUCCGAGUCACGGAGAGCUCAGAGGGUCUAGUGAUCAGGAGGAGAUACAGGUAGAAAGCUUUCCAAGUCUAAACUCUCUCGAAAUUCCAGACGCCACCUCAUAUUUCACAACUUAUUCAGUGAACACAUUGAUACAUCAAGGUAUUAGGGCACAGCAUAGUCAAUUAAGCACAACAGAGCUGGUGCUAUCCAGCUUACCAGGGAGGUCAAAUUCACUUGUCCAACAAGAAAACAGACCAACUUGUGGUUCAGAAAUUUCCAUCCCCUGUUCUCAUGAUGAAGUUUGUCCAGGCGAGAAAAUAAUAAGCCACGCAAAGCAUGAACAAAUCUAUGUAGGAAGACACCACCGUUGCACCCAGUGUGGAAGAACUUAUGUGAGAGCAUGUGACCUCAGGGCACAUAUGCUGAUCCACAAAGGCAAGAAACCUCUGAGUUGUACCCAGUGCGAUCAGACGUUUGCAUACAACUUUGAACUCAAGGUUCACCAGCAACACCACUCAGGGGAGAGACCGCACGUCUGUCCACAUUGCGGCAAGGCCUUCGCUCGGCUGAGCAACUUUAAGCAGCAUCAGAACAUCCACACACGGGAGAAGCUCUUCAGCUGUAAUCAAUGCGGGAUGAGGUUCAAUCGAGCCACCAACUUGCGAGUUCAUCUCAGAAGGCACAGCCACGCAGGGAAGACUUAUAGUUGCUCUCAGUGUGGAAAGAGCUUUCUGGGUCCCAGGCAAAUGAAGGCUCAUUUAAUGAAAAUCCAUGGAAGAGGAGGGAAAUAAAUCUAUCUACUUUUCAACUUAAGAAACUCAGCAUUUAUGCUCUGUUUUCACUUAAAAUCCUAAUUUAACUGAUUCUGAAUUGGUCUAAUGUUUACAUAUUAUCAAUGGUCUGCUCUGUUGGGGUAUAUUAAAAUAUCCCUAGUCUCUACACAUGUUUAAUCCUUGAAAAUGGAAACUCCCUUUUGCUAUCUGUAUUUUAGCCAAAUCCCAUACCUGGAUACACACAUUUAGAGCUAAGGGUGGUGAGAGCUCUCGGGCAGCCAACAUCCAGUUGCAACCAGGCACAAAAGCAUCAGAUAGAACAUGAGGACCUUUACAACCCUUUUGCAAACAUUGAACCCUUAAAGACACCUAAACACCUGUAAAGCACCUGGACAAAUCCAUAUGCAUGAAAUAAUAUUAGUAAAUAAAUAUAUAAUGAAAAUAAUUUUUUUCCCCCCAAGUUUGCUACUUCAAUAUCUACAACUUUUUUUUUUUCUGAAAUAGUUUUGUGUUCCCUUGCUAUAAGUUUUGCGUGCCCUUGCAAUAAAUUUACCAUGGUUUUACUAUAGUAACCAUAUUUUAACCUUGAUAUUUGUAGUAAAACCAUAAUAAUAAUACAGGAAAAUGAAAACUAUGGAAAUAAAAAUCAUAAUUUUAUGGUUAUUAUGGUUUUACUGUAAAUUAUUUGUCAUAAAACCAUAGUAACCACAAGAAAUACUAUAAUUAAUUUAGUAAAACCAUGGUUACUAUAUGGAUACACUAUAUUGUAUUAAAACCUUGGUUUCCGCCAAAAAAAAACAUGGUUACUUAACUUACUUUUCAUAGUUAAUACAAUAAUAUUACUAUAGUAAAACCAUGGUUUCCGUCAUAAAAACAAAACAUGAUUAGCCUACAACAGUCAUGGUUACUACAAUAUUACUAUUGUAAAACCAUAGUUAAAAUAUGGUAUUUGUAUAGUAAAACCAUAAUCACAAAAUUAUGAUUUUUAUUAACAUAGUUUUUGUUUUCCUGUAUUAUCACUGUAUUAAAAUAUGGUUACUGUAGUAAAACCAUGGUAAAUCUAUUGUGAGGGAAUGCAAAACUUAUUGUGAGGCAACGCAAACUAUUUCGAGUGCACGUAAAACUAUUUCAAAAAACAAAUUCCCGCCCUGUCCUCUAAGGGGCUCUGUAGGUUCCUUAUAGUCUCAAGACCUCUGACCUGUAGAGCACAACAUUGCCAGUUCCAGAAGUAAAUGUCCCACUCAUUUUUCCAUAGAGGAAUUGAUUUUUAAUGAUAACUUAUUAACCUUUAAAGACAGACCGACCUUGAGCUCCGAGGUUGUUACAUGAUGUUUAUAUGCUUCUGUUGAAGUCGUACGUCUGCCUUAUUUCAACUUCAGCAGCGCAUUUUCUGAUAAAGAACUACACUGUCAAUGAUCCAGAAGUGAAAGACCCACCAAUCAAAGAAUCGCGACCAACAAAAUGUGGCGAAAGAGCUCAGUACCGCCCAAUCCCAUGACGCACUGUUAAUAACAAACUUCUUAACUAAAUAUUUUGCAAUAAACAUAAAAUGCAUUCUUUUUAUACUUAUAAUCAACAACUUCAAGUCAGUACUUUUAUAUUUUUCUAUAGUUUUUAAACCUCUACCGUAACUAUGUACACAUUCUUUUUGUCAGAUUUUCAAAUAAUUUUUUUUGUUGUUGUUGUUGCUUCAAAUCAAAGUUUGUAAUGAUGUGAUUCACCUCGAAGCUGGUUGGAUUGGUUCAUGUCUUAGAAGGAUUUUAUGAAAUCCCUAUGGAAAAUAUGAAUGGGAAAAAUACAUACAUAACCAGGUCGACUAGACGAACACUGUUAUGCUCUAUUUAGAAACGGUAAUCAUUGAAUUACUUCAACAGGAAUUGUUUUGCUGUUGUAUUAUCAAUGUAAAAUGAUUUGCAUAGUUUAUAUAAUGUUUUGUAUGUCUUCAAGCAAUUGGGUAUGUCCUAUUUGCUGAAGUACAUUUAAGGAUAAUUUCACUAAAACGGAGCUCUGACAUUCUAAAUGUAAUCAAUAAAAAUAAACUAAAUUGUGAAUUCAAAUAAGUCUCUAUUGAUCCAACAAUCAAAGUCUACUGUUGGGAAAGAGAAACAAACUUUCAGAUUUACCUUCCUGAACAGCAACAACUGCAGACAAACAUGUUACAUUCCAUCGAAAUCCAUUCCAAAACACUACAUUUCAUCCAUUUCAGUCAUUUUUCUUUUGUCUUUUUUUUUUUUUUUCUUCUUAUGAAAGAUAAUUCUACUACUGAUUUGUGGAUUAAAGAACAUUGCAAGACAUAACUGCUGCUCCUUAGCCUUAUUUCCAAGGUACUUCAGUAUUAUGUCUUGAUUUUUGUCUUGGAGUGAUCGUUAUCAGACAACUUCUCUAGGUAAAGUAACAUUAACAGUGAUUAUACAUUUCUUUCAUGUAUACAUAACCUGCCAAAUGAUGGGUUCAUGGAGGCCCAAGUCUUUACAAAUGACUAUUUACUAUUUGGUGGAAAUAUAUAUUUUUUAACCAAUAUUUCUGACCAAAAUAUUAAGAAAAGGCACAUAAGAUUCAAAUGAUCCCCAGCAUAAAAGACAUAAUAUAAUGGAUUUGAAAGCUUUUUCUGACAAAAGCAGUGCAUCUUAGUACAAUGCGUUAUAUAUAUUUUUUUUAAUUAGGCUUUAGAGACUUUUAAUUUUAUACAGUAAUUGUAGUGUGUUUAGAUAUUUUGUAUUGAUUAUUUUGACUUUAAUGGGACAAGAAUUCACAGAGGUGAAACUGAACCAAGACAACAGAUACUGUAUUUCUGAAAGGUUUACUGACAAACUUUCUGCACUCCCUAUUUGAAAGAAUUAUCAUUGUCUCAACUGUGUUAUUGCAGAACUGACUUAAUGUCUUUUCUGAAAAUAAACAAUAACAUAACCCAUAUACACAUUAAACAAAGUUAGCAUUGCACUAUUCAUCUAGUAAACAAUAUAUUUUAAUACAAAGCAGUCAUUCUCCAAAAAAAAAAAAAAAACAAAAAAAAAAUACAUAUAUAUAUAAAUUUUUAUUUUUUUUUAAUUAUGAAAAGAAUAUUAUAGAAGCAUGAUAAAUGCUAAAUUAUAAUAUAAACCAAACAAUAUAACUCUGUUUUACUAAUUUGGUGUUGUGUAUGUUGUAGAUUGGCCGAAGGUUUGCAGAAUGUCCCUCCACAGAACAAGGAAAACUGCACCCCAUAAACAGGCGGAGAACAUUCAGCGUAGUGGCCAGGGAGAUCCUGACACAGUUUCAGGUUUGGCAGAGGGCAUGCUAUAGCAGGAAUAUAGAGUG